UACAGAGGGGGCAAGCGUUGUUCGGAAUUACUGGGCGUAAAGGGCGCGUAGGCGGCCCGCUAAGUCGAACGUGAAAUCCCCAGGCUCAACCUGGGAACUGCGUCCGAUACUGGCAGGCUUGAAUCCGGGAGAGGGAUGUGGAAUUCCAGGUGUAGCGGUGAAAUGCGUAGAUAUCUGGAGGAAUACCGGUGGCGAAGGCGGCAUCCUGGACCAUUACUGACGCUGAGGCGCGAAAGCUAGGGGAGCAAACGGG
rnacentral:rRNA from 1 species